rnacentral:rRNA from 1 species
GAUAAACGCUGGCGGCGCACAUAAGACAUGCAAGUCGAACGAAGAUCGUUAUUAAAUGGAAUGAAGAUUUAUCGGAGUGAAGUUUAGUAACAAUGGUCUUAGUGGCGGACUGGUGAGUAACGCGUAAGGAACCUGCCUUUUAGAGGGGAAUAACAAUGAGAAAUCAUUGCUAAUACCGCAUAUGCCAUAGUUAUCACAUGAUAAUAGUGGGAAAGGAGCAAUUCGCUAAAAGAUGGCCUUGCGUCUGAUUAGAUAGUUGGUAAGGUAACGGCUUACCAAGUCGACGAUCAGUAGCCGGACUGAGAGGUUGAACGGCCACAUUGGGACUGAGAUACGGCCCAG